AUGAGAGAGAGAGAGAGAGAGAUGAAUUCAAAAUUCCUAAACCAUUAUAUUGUGCUUUUCAAUAUUUUGAUGUCAUGCUGAUAAGUGUAUAUACUCUGUUCAUUUGAGAUAUAAAAUUAGUAGCACAAAUUGAUUACUUUUUUUUAUUUAUUUUAUCUAAAUAGAUAGAUAGCAAUUGUUUACAUGUUUUAUCCUGUACUUUAAGCUUUAUACUCAUAUUGUAUAUGUUGCUUUUGCUUCUCAGAAAGCCAUUUCAAAAGUAAGUCUUGGGUCAUCAAAUGCAUCUGGUUCUUGCUCAUCAAAAGAGCAUCAUAAUCAACAAUAUCCAGACCGAGAGGAUUGAAGGCAAUGGGAAGCAACAUGGAGAGAGAUUCAGAAUGACGGUGAAGGAUGGAUGGGGGUUGGGUGUUUUGGUUCCCUUUCUUCUUAUUUUGUGUUAAAAUCCUUUGGAUUUUUAUUUCUCUUCUUUGUUCUUUUUUUUCCUCUGAUCAGACUGGGGGGUUGGGUGUUUUGGUUCACUUUUUUCUUAUUUUGUGUUAAAUGGGGGAGUGGUGAGAGAGAGAAGAGGGUAAUGUUAUUUUGUGGCUUUGUAUGUAAGGUAGUAAUUUUUUUAUUGAGAAUUGUAAAUUCAAUUUUUAGAUAUGUGUUUUGUGGAUAAUGGUAAUUGGAUAUUAAAUUGAAUGAGAAAGUGAAUUGAUGCUGUAUUUAUUA